CUAAAUUAACAUGAUAUGUACUAAGUUGUUCCCAUUCCCUUUUGCUUUAGGCAUUUUUCAGACAAGGGUCUUGGGUUUUGGGCUAGUGCCAACCUUUGACCUUUGGAGACUUCUUUUGUAGCUAGAUUAUAGUCAGGAAUUACCAUGUCU